UAGGGAAUCUUCGGCAAUGGACGAAAGUCUGACCGAGCAACGCCGCGUGAGUGAAGAAGGUUUUCGGAUCGUAAAACUCUGUUGUUAGAGAAGAACAAGGACGUUAGUAACUGAACGUCCCCUGACGGUAUCUAACCAGAAAGCCACGGCUAACUACGUGCCAGCAGCCGCGGUAAUACGUAGGUGGCAAGCGUUGUCCGGAUUUAUUGGGCGUAAAGCGAGCGCAGGCGGUUUCUUAAGUCUGAUGUGAAAGCCCCCGGCUCAACCGGGGAGGGUCAUUGGAAACUGGGAAACUUGAGUGCAGAAGAGGGGAGUGGAAUUCCAUGUGUAGCGGUGAAAUGCGUAGAUAUAUGGAGGAACACCAGUGGCGAAGGCGGCUCUCUGGUCUGUAACUGACGCUGAGGCUCGAAAGCGUGGGGAGCAAACAGG
rnacentral:rRNA from 1 species